CUACGGGGGGCUGCAGUAAGGAAUAUUGCGCAAUGGAGGCAACUCUGACGCAGCCAUGCCGCGUGCAGGAAGAAGGCCUUAUGGGUCGUAAACUGCUUUUAUUUAGGAAUAAACCCCCGAACGUGUUCGGGGCUGAAGGUACUAAACGAAUAAGCACCGGCUAACUCCGUGCCAGCAGCCGCGGUAAUAUGGAGGGUGCAAGCGUUAUCCGGAUUUAUUGGGUUUAAAGGGUGCGCAGGCGGGCUAUUAAGUCAGUGGUGAAAUCCCGGGGCUCAACUCCGGAACUGCCAUUGAUACUGAUAGUCUUGAGUUUGGUUGAAGUGGGCGGAAUGUAGCAUGUAGCGGUGAAAUGCAUAGAUAUGCUACAGAACACCAAUCGCGAAGGCAGCUCACUAAGCCAAAACUGACGCUCAUGCACGAAAGCGUGGGGAUCAAACAGGAUUAGAUACCCUUGUAGUC
rnacentral:rRNA from 1 species